GCACCUUGACGGUACCUAGCCAGAACGCCACGGCUAAGUAGGUGCCAGCAGCCGCGGUAAGACGUAUGGUGGCAAGCGUUGUCCGGAAUUAUUGGGCGUAAAGGGCUCGCAGGCGGUUUCUUAAGUCUGAUGUGAAAGCCCCCGGCUCAACCGGAGAGGGUCAUUGGAAACUGGGAAACUUGAGUGCAGAAGAGGAGAGUGGAAUUCCACGUGUAGCGGUGAAAUGCGUAGAGAUGUGGAGGAACACCAGUGGCGAAGGCGACUCUCUGGUCUGUAACCGACGCUGAGGAGCGAAAGCGUGGGGAGCGAACAGGAUUAGAUACACUGGCAGUCCACGCCGUAAACGAUGAGUGCUAAGUGUUAGGGGGUUUCCGCCCCUUAGUGCUGCAGCUAACGCAUUAAGCACUCCGCCUGAGGAGUACGGUCGCAAGACUGAAACUCAAAGGAAUUGACGGGGGCACGCACAAGCGGUGGAGCAUGUGGUUUAACUCGAAGCAACGCGAAGAACCUUACCAGGUCUUGACAUCCUCUGACAACCCUAGAGAUAGGGCUUUCCCUUCGGGGACAGAGUGACAGGUGGUGCAUGGUUGUCGUCAGCUCGUGUCGUGAGAUGUUGGGUUAAGUCCCGCAACGAGCGCAACCCUUGAUCUUAGUUGCCAGCAUUCAGUUGGGCACUCUAAGGUGACUGCCGGUGACAAACCGGAGGAAGGUGGGGAUGACGUCAAAUCAUCAUGCCCCUUAUGACCUGGGCUACACACGUGCUACAAUGGACAGAACAAAGGGCUGCAAGACCGCAAGGUUUAGCCAAUCCCAUAAAUCUGUUCUCAGUUCGGAUCGCAGUCUGCAACUCGACUGCGUGAAGCUGGAAUCGCUAGUAAUCGCGGAUCAGCAUGCCGCGGUGAAUACGUUCCCGGGCCUUGUACACACCGCCCGUCACACCACGAGAGUUUGCAACACCCGAAGUCGGUGAGGUAACCUUUAUGGAGCCAGCCGCCGAAGGUGGGGCAGAUGAUUGGGGUGAAGUCGUAACAAGGUAGCCGUAUCG
rnacentral:rRNA from 2 species